rnacentral:lncRNA from 1 species
UUGAAGACAUAAAACGGCAGAAUAAAAAACAAGUCGGGCAGCUGCUGGGGGAUAAUAAGUAGGCUACAAAGUUGAAUUAAACACAUAUAUAUAGACCCACAUAAAGCCGAAAGUGGGAGGAGGAUUGGAGUGCCUUUUUGAUAAUCAAACAUUGGGCAGCAAGAUUGGAAUAAACCAUAUAAAUUCAUAGAAAACACAAGCUGCUGGGGAUUGAAAUUGUAUACAGAAAGUGGCGGCUGGAAUUGAUUUUGGAAUUUAGAUUACAAGUGGCGGCUCCUGGGGAAAUAUAUACAUAUUUUACGUGCAUGCAAGCCCGGAAUUGGAGACACCUACACGGUAAAAAGACAGCAGUUUGGAGACAGAAUUGGGCUGAAAUUUUGAUACUAUAUUAAUCACAUUUCGUCGAUUUUUGGUGAUAUCUGUUAUCCUUUCUUUGUUUAAUUUCAACAUUAUGUUAGGCUAACUUAUUUUGUGCUAGGAUUUGCUAUGAACCUUAUAUUAUGCACCUAUAAUCUUGAAAUUUAUUUAUUUUGACGUUAAAACAUGUUUUUCAUUAUUGAAUGAUUGGCAUGGAUUUUAUUUUCUCUAUAAUUAUAUGCGUAAUAGUUGUAUGAGAUUUGUGGCUUGUUUUACCCUCGAGAGAUGGAAAAUAAGUUAGACAUUGUGUCAAUUGUCGUAAUGUCCGAUAGGGGAUAGAAAU